rnacentral:rRNA from 1 species
CGCCAGACUCCUACGGGAGGCAGCAGUGGGGAAUAUUGCACAAUGGGGGAAACCCUGAUGCAGCGACGCCGCGUGAGUGAAGAAGUAUUUCGGUACGUAAAGCCCUAUCAGCAGGGAAGAAAAUGACGGUACCUGAGUAAGAAGCCCCGGCUAACUACGUGCCAGCAGCCGCGGUAAUACGUAGGGGGCAAGCGUUAUCCGGAUUUACUGGGUGUAAAGGGAGCGUAGACGGCAGUGCAAGUCUGAAGUGAAAGCCCCGGGCUUAACCCGGGAACUGCUUUGGAAACUGUACGGCUGGAGUGCUGGAGAGGUAAGCGGAAUUCCUAGUGUAGCGGUGAAAUGCGUAGAUAUUAGGAGGAACACCAGUGGCGAAGGCGGCUUACUGGACAGUAACUGACGUUGAGGCUCGAAAGCGUGGGGAGCAAACAGGAUUAGAUACCCCUGUAC